rnacentral:misc_RNA from 1 species
AAAAUGCGAUACGCAAUGCGAAUUGCAGAAUUCCGCGAAUCAUCAGAUCCUUGAACGCAACUGGCGCUGGAGGGCUCUCCUUCCAGCAUGCCUGUUUCAGUGUCUGAAAACAUCCACAAAAAUAUCAUAAUGUGUUUGAUGAUGUAUAUAUAGCAAUAUAUUAUACAAAAUCUUACAUUAAAGAUGUAUUGCGUGGGCCGUCGGGUCCCCAUCGAAUUGGUCACUGACACUUCAGUGAUUUCGAAGGUGGAUAAUUACAAACCGAUGUUUGCCAACUAUACGCAAUAGAAAUCAUAAAAACAACUUCAACAUCUGCAUCUGAAAUCAGGCAAGAACACCCGCUGAACUUAA